GUCGAGCGGAGAUGAGGUGCUUGCACCUUAUCUUAGCGGCGGACGGGUGAGUAAUGCUUAGGAAUCUGCCUAUUAGUGGGGGACAACAUUCCGAAAGGAAUGCUAAUACCGCAUACGUCCUACGGGAGAAAGCAGGGGAUCUUCGGACCUUGCGCUAAUAGAUGAGCCUAAGUCGGAUUAGCUAGUUGGUGGGGUAAAGGCCUACCAAGGCGACGAUCUGUAGCGGGUCUGAGAGGAUGAUCCGCCACACUGGGACUGAGACACGGCCCAGACUCCUACGGGAGGCAGCAGUGGGGAAUAUUGGACAAUGGGGGGAACCCUGAUCCAGCCAUGCCGCGUGUGUGAAGAAGGCCUUAUGGUUGUAAAGCACUUUAAGCGAGGAGGAGGCUACUGAGACUAAUACUCUUGGAUAGUGGACGUUACUCGCAGAAUAAGCACCGGCUAACUCUGUGCCAGCAGCCGCGGUAAUACAGAGGGUGCGAGCGUUAAUCGGAUUUACUGGGCGUAAAGCGUGCGUAGGCGGCUUUUUAAGUCGGAUGUGAAAUCCCCGAGCUUAACUUGGGAAUUGCAUUCGAUACUGGGGAGCUAGAGUAUGGGAGAGGAUGGUAGAAUUCCAGGUGUAGCGGUGAAAUGCGUAGAGAUCUGGAGGAAUACCGAUGGCGAAGGCAGCCAUCUGGCCUAAUACUGACGCUGAGGUACGAAAGCAUGGGGAGCAAACAGGAUUAGAUACCCUGGUAGUCCAUGCCGU
rnacentral:rRNA from 1 species